GACGAUUCCUACGGGAGGCAGCAGUAGGGAAUCUUCCACAAUGGACGAAAGUCUGAUGGAGCAAUGCCGCGUGAGUGAAGAAGGUUUUCGGAUCGUAAAACUCUGUUGUGAGGGAAGAACAAGUAUGAGAGUAACUGCUCGUACCUUGACGGUACCUCAUUAGAAAGCCACGGCUAACUACGUGCCAGCAGCCGCGGUAAU
rnacentral:rRNA from 2 species